rnacentral:lncRNA from 11 species
GCAAUGCAAUAUGAGGGUUGCAUAUUGACCUGACUCCAGAAUUUGAACAUUUUUUUAGGCAUAGUCCCACAUAGAGCAAAAGUGAACCAGUGUCAUUCCACUGAAAUGUGUGGUUGAUUAAUAUGCUACUUUUCUACAAGUAACAAGAGGCCUUUUUAUGUAAAAAGAAAAGGUUAGAGCAGAGGUAACGGAAAGUGCAUGAUGGAGAUAUAUUUACAUCUCUUUUCAUGCCAAGCAUCCAAUGCGCUCUAGCAUGCAAAUCAUGGCCAGUUUGAUAUCCUUUAUAAGCUGAAGCUUGUUGCAUUUUGGUACACCAGCUUGCACACAAUGGGUCCCUUCAUCAUAAUUUUCUUGCUCUUUUUCAUGCUUAAGCCAGGGUCACCCUCUGAAAUACGGUUGAUUCAAUCUGAUAGAGAAACACUGAAACCUGGAGAAUCUCUCAAGCUGACUUGCGCUGUCUCUGGUGAAGCCAUUCGGAAAGGCGCUGGUUGGAACUGGGUCCGAGAACCCCAGGGAAGCGGCUAGAAUGGUUAGGGUGGGGAUUCUUCAACGGUCCAACCUGGAUAACCCAUUAUGGGUCAGCUUUCAGGGGCAGGCUCUCUGUUACGCUUGAUGCGUCCAGAAAUGAAUAUUAUCUGCAACAGAGUUCCAUGACAACUGCAGACUCAGGCAUCUAUUACUGCGCAAGAGGCACAGCAGCACAGUGACACAGCCUCUUUACAAAAAGGGAGAAGUGGGAUUCUCAUAGACACUGUGGAACCUAUCUCUAUGUUUCUGCUCCAGAACACAAGUUUGCAUCCAGAUAUAGAGUAAUUCCAUAAUGGCUUUUUUAUUAUCAAAAUGGGAGUCCUGGUGUCUGUCUAUAUACAUGAACCUAGUUGUACU